rnacentral:rRNA from 1 species
UGGGGAAUCUUGCGCAAUGGGCGAAAGCCUGACGCAGCGACGCCGCGUGGGUGAUGAAGGCCUUCGGGUUGUAAAGCCCUGUGGGGAGGGACGAAUAAGUCAUGGCUAAUAUCCAUGGUGAUGACGGUACCUCCUUAGCAAGCACCGGCUAACUCUGUGCCAGCAGCCGCGGUAAGACAGAGGGUGCGAACGUUGUUCGGAUUUACUGGGCGUAAAGCGCGUGUAGGUGGCAUCGCAAGUCGGAUGUGAAAGCCCGGGGCUCAACCCCGGAAGUGCAUCUGAUACUGCGAAGCUAGAGUCCUGGAGAGGAUGGUGGAACUCUCGGUGUAGAGGUGAAAUUCGUAGAUAUCGAGAAGAACACCGGCGGCGAAGGCGGCCAUCUGGACAGUGACUGACACUG